UACGAAGGGGGCUAGCGUUGCUCGGAAUCACUGGGCGUAAAGGGUGCGUAGGCGGGUCUUUGAGGCAGGGGUGAAAUCCUGGAGCUCAACUCCAGAACUGCCUUUGAUACUGAAGAUCUUGAGUUCGGGAGAGGUGAGUGGAACUGCGAGUGUAGAGGUGAAAUUCGUAGAUAUUCGCAAGAACACCAGUGGCGAAGGCGGCUCACUGGUCCGGUACUGACGCUGAGGUGCGAAAGCGUGGGGAGCAAACAGG
rnacentral:rRNA from 1 species